rnacentral:tRNA from 1 species
GUGGUAUAGCUCAGAUGGUUAGAGCGUGGGAUUCAUAACCCCAAGGUCGCCGGUUCGAUUCCAGCUACCACC